rnacentral:lncRNA from 1 species
GUAACCCAGAGGGCCCAGGCCCUAUGGCUCCAGUUUACCAUGUGUAGGUUCUGUGCCUCAGGACAAGUCGUUAUAGGACGCUCCCAUCACUGGGACAGACACAAAAGCUUCCCAUGCAGGAGGAUGAGGCUCCUUACUCAUAGAGGAGAUGGUGCCUGAAGCAAAGAGGGUCGGAUGCUUCCCAAGCAUUUGCACUGAUGGGGCUGUGCUGUUCUCCCACCUGAUGCAACUCUUUUGAAUGAAGCUGAUGAAUUUCCACUGCGUGAGGGGAAGAAGAGCCUGUCCUGAUGCAGAACGACUUUUCUCCAUUUGUGUUUCCUGCAUGAGAGUAUGGAUCUCUUCCAAAGAUGGUCUUGAGUUACUCUGGCCCAAGCCCAGGAACAGCUCCAUGUGCCUGUAUGUAUGUGUUGGUCUUGAUGUCUCACUUUGUGCCAGGCCCAGAAGCAGCUGUGGUGCAGGCCCUUUGUUGCUCUUGUGCACCUUUCUAAAGCAGUAAGAAGGUCUUGAGGAAUGGUUACAGCCUGGCACCAUCUGCAGCUGCAGUUGUAGACUGAGUGGCGGCCUGGUCUCCUGAGGGCUGGGAUGCUUGUCCUGGUCCAGGAAGGGUCCCUGUCAUUGCUCCAGCUGCAGAGACUUGACUUGAUUGAGGGAUGGUCCUAUAUCUUAGGACCUCUUCCAUAGUCCAAAGGUGCUGCAGGCAGUAUGAGGUCUGUAGGCUUCAGACUGGCCACUUAGUAUAAAAACAAGUGUGUUUUAGCUUCCAUUGCUUACCUGGUGUGUUUGUACUCUUAAGGGAAGCAACAGGAUCAUCUGGAAAUAUAUAUAUAGAAAGUUUCAUGGUUGAUGCCUUGGAACAUCCUUUCUUUAAGGCAGAGUUUAGUGUCCUUCAAUAUAUAACUUCGUAUGAGCUACAGUUUAACUACAUCUCAUCUGUUGGACCUGCUCGUGUUAGUGAAGAGUUGUAUUAUUCUGUGUAUCCAAUAGAACAGCAAAUUAGAGACACCUUUUCCAUGCUAAUCAAUUAGUCAUGUAAGAUGUUACUACUUUCCAAAGAAGUGCUGGAGUAGCAGCUGUGUCACUUGUUAUGAAAGGUUUGUGUGUCAGCAGAUUCUGUGUCCAUGUUACGGUUUCUGCAGAGCCAGCAGCAAACCCUAAUAAAACUUAAUGCGAGAAAACA